CCCGCUGAACUUAAGCAUAUCAAUAAGCGGAGGAAAAGAAACUAACAAGGAUUCCCCUAGUAACUGCGAGUGAAGCGGGAAAAGCUCAAAUCUGAAAUCUGUGGGGCCCUUGCGGUCGUCCAAGCUGUGAUCUAGAGAAGCUCCAUCCGCGCUUGGGACCGUGUACAAGUCUCCUGGUACGGAUCGUCGCCCAAGGUGAGAAUCCCGUCUUUGACACGCGGAACAACCGCCAGGGCUAUUUGCUGUGAAGCGCUCUUGAAGAGUGCGAGCUGCUCUGAACUGCAGCUCAAAAUGGUUCGAAGAUUCCAUCUAAAGCUAUACAUUGGCGAGAGACCGAUAGCGAACAAGUACCGUGAGGCAUAGAUGAAAAGAACUUUGGAAAGAGAGUUAACCCUUACAGUGAAAUCUGUUGAAAGGGAAACGCUUGAUGUCAGUCACGUUCGCCGGGGAUCAACCUUGCGCUAUUCAUAUCUGCUGCUGGUACUCUCCUGCUAUUACCGGUCAUCGUCAGUUUUGACCGUCCGACAAUGCACCACGAAAUGUGGCAUACAUCGUAUGUGUUCUAGCCCUCGGUCGCGUACGAUUCUCGGGAUUGACGAACUCUGCACGUCGCAAUGCCCGGUUUUUAUGAUCACGUUACGUGCUCAGGAUUCUGGCAUUGAGUGGCUUAUAUCGACCCGUCUUGAAACACGG
rnacentral:rRNA from 1 species